rnacentral:tRNA from 1 species
UCCUCAGUAGCUCAAUGGUGGAGCAACCGGCUGUUAACCGGUAGGCUGCUGGUUCGAAUCCAGCCUGGGGAGCCA